CGAUCGAUUUGGUCGUAACAGCCGGCAAUCAAAAAAUCACAAACUACUAUCUGAAAUAAUUAUCACAUAUUUAUGAAACCACAGUAAUCGGCGUUAUAACAACUAACAGUAAUAUUAUUGUUAAAUAGCUAGGGAACACAGUCCAACUAGCGAUGAGAAACAUCAGUAUAGCCGAUAAGCCCAUAAUAAAAUAAUCUACCGAUUUUGACGAUACCGCGGAAUAACCUGAAGGAGAGUUUACCAAAAUGCUUUAGGUGGUUUUUAUUGAAUCAAUAAGAAGAUUUUCGAGGGUUGUUGACGAUUUACUACACGAAUAAAUACUAGAGUUUCGAUUAAUUAUCUAAUGUUUGAAUACCACAGGAGAUAUCGAGAUCCGACCGUAAAAUAUAUAAUAUCACACUCUCUAAAUGUGCCGAAUGAGAGUGUCGUUCAAUGGAAUACUAAUAGAACAGACAAUUAAAACAAACUUUCCACUAUACGUCAAUGUCAUUAAAGCCGAACAAGGUUUAGUGUUCUGUGCCAAGUUAAUUUCUAAAUUUUGGAUUUAGGAUUAAAAUAAUGAAAAUGGUUUCAAUUAUCACGGUUCAUAUUUCGACGUGUUUUGUCAGAGUUUACGCAGGUACUAUAGUCGUGAAAGCGGGCAGAAAAUAAUGACCUCGAAAAACC